rnacentral:rRNA from 1 species
UACGGGGGGGGCAAGCGUUGUUCGGAAUUACUGGGCGUAAAGGGCGCGUAGGCGGCCACCGCAAGUCAGUUGUGAAAUCUCUGGGCUUAACCCAGAAAGGUCAACUGAUACUGCGGGGCUAGAGUGCAGAAGGGGCAACUGGAAUUCUCGGUGUAGCGGUGAAAUGCGUAGAUAUCGAGAGGAACACCUGCGGCGAAGGCGGGUUGCUGGGCUGACACUGACGCUGAAGCGCGAAAGCUAGGGGAGCGAACGGG